rnacentral:rRNA from 1 species
UACGUAGGGGGCAAGCGUUGUCCGGAUUUAUUGGGCGUAAAGAGCUUGUAGGCGGCCAUACAGGUCCGUUGUGAAAACUGGAGGCUUAACCUCCAGACGUCGAUGGAAACCGUAUGGCUAGAGUCCGGAAGAGGAGAGCGGAAUUCCUGGUGUAGCGGUGAAAUGCGCAGAUAUCAGGAAGAACACCCGUGGCGAAGGCGGCUCUCUGGGACGGUACUGACGCUGAGACGCGAAAGCGUGGGGAGCAAACAGG